UUUAAGUAUAGUUGUGGAUUUUCGUGUUCAAUGUUUGACCGUCCAUUUUAUUUGAAUUUUUUUAUUAUUAGUAAUUUUUUUUGUUAUUAGAUGAUAAAACAUGAAUAGUAUUUUAUGCGUGACUUAUUUUUAAUUUAUUUCUAAAAUUUUCAAAUAAGAUGGACGGUCAAACAUUGAACAUGAAAAUUCACAACUACACUUAAA
rfam:Oryza glaberrima chromosome 11 Oglab11_0059_2, whole genome shotgun sequence.